rnacentral:rRNA from 1 species
CGCGAUUCGCCCUUCGGGGUGCACCAGGCGCGAAAACUUUGCAAUGCGGGAAACCGUGACAAGGGAACUCUGAGUGCCCGUUAAAUCGGGCUGUCCAUCGGUUUAAAUAACCGGUGAAGAAAGGGCCGGGCAAGACCGGUGCCAGCCGCCGCGGUAAUACCGGCGGCUCGAGUGGUGGCCACUAUUACUGGGCUUAAAGCGUUCGUAGCUGGUUUGUUAAGUCUCUGGGGAAAUCUUCCGGCUUAACCGGAAGGCGUCUCAGGGAUACUGGCAGACUAGGGACCGGGAGAGGUGAGAGGUACUCCAGGGGUAGGAGUGAAAUCCUGUAAUCCUUGGGGGACCACCUGUGGCGAAGGCGUCUCACCAGAACGGCUCCGACAGUGAGGGACGAAAGCUGGGGGAGCAAACCGGAUUAGAUACCCGGGUAGUCCCAGCUGUAAACGAUGCGCGUUAGGUGUAUCGGUGACCACGAGUCACCGAGGUGCCGAAGAGAAAUCGUGAAACGUGCCGCCUGGGAAGUACGGUCGCAAGGCUGAAACUUAAAGGAAUUGGCGGGGGAGCAC